rnacentral:rRNA from 1 species
GACGAACGCUGGCGGCGUGCUUAACACAUGCAAGUCGAACGGUGAACUCCGCUUGCGGGGGGAUCAGUGGCGAACGGGUGAGUAACACGUGGGCAACCUGCCCUCAGCUCUGGGAUAACUCCAAGAAAUUGGGGCUAAUACCGGAUAUGACCGCUGACCGCAUGGUCUGGUGGUGGAAAGAUUUAUCGGCUGGGGAUGGGCCCGCGGCCUAUCAGCUUGUUGGUGGGGUAGUGGCCUACCAAGGCGACGACGGGUAGCCGGCCUGAGAGGGUGACCGGCCACACUGGGAAUGAGAAACGGCCCAGAGUGCUACGGGAGGCAGCAGUGGGGAAUAAUGCGCAAUGGGCGAAAGCCUGACGCAGCGACGCCGCGUGGGGGAUGACGGCCUUCGGGUUGUAAACCUCUUUCAGCAGGGACGAAGCGAAAGUGACGGUACCUGCAGAAGAAGCACCGGCCAGCUACGUG